rnacentral:rRNA from 1 species
GGACGGGUGAGUAAUGUCUGGGAAACUGCCCGAUGGAGGGGGAUAACUACUGGAAACGGUAGCUAAUACCGCAUAACGUCUACGGACCAAAGUGGGGGACCUUCGGGCCUCACACCAUCGGAUGUGCCCAGAUGGGAUUAGCUAGUAGGUGGGGUAACAGGCUCACCUAGGCGACGAUCCCUAGCUGGUCUGAGAGGAUGACCAGCCACACUGGAACUGAGACACGGUCCAGACUCCUACGGGAGGCAGCAGUGGGGAAUAUUGCACAAUGGGCGCAAGCCUGAUGCAGCCAUGCCGCGUGUAUGAAGAAGGCCUUCGGGUUGUAAAGUACUUUCAGCGGGGAGGAAGGCGAUGAGGUUAAUAGCCUCGUCGAUUGACGUUACCCGCAGAAGAAGCACCGGCUAACUCCGUGCCAGCAGCCGCGGUAAUACGGAGGGUGCAAGCGUUAAUCGGAAUUACUGGGCGUAAAGCGCACGCAGGCGGUCUGUCAAGUCGGAUGUGAAAUCCCCGGGCUCAACCCGGGAACUGCAUUCGAAACUGGCAGGCUAGAGUCUUGUUAGAGGGGGGUAGAAUUCCAGGUGUAGCGGUGAAAUGCGUAGAGAUCUGGAGGAAUACCGGUGGCGAAGGCGGCCCCUGGACAAGACUGACGCUCAGGUGCGAAAGCGUGGGAGCAAACAGGAUUAGAUACCCUGGUAGUCCACGCCGUAAACGAUGUCGACUUGGAGGCUGUUCCCUUGAGGAGUGGCUUCCGGAGCUAACGCGUUAAGUCGACCGCCUGGGGAGUACGGCCGCAAGGUUAAAACUCAAAUGAAUUGACGGGGGCCCGCACAAGCGGUGGAGCAUGUGGUUUAAUUCGAUGCAACGCGAAGAACCUUACCUGGCCUUGACAUCCACGGAAUUCUGCAGAGAUGCGGAAGUGCCUUCGGGACCCGUGAGACAGGUGCUGCAUGGCUGUCGUCAGCUCGUGUUGUGAAAUGUUGGGUUAAGUCCCGCAACGAGCGCAACCCUUAUCCUUUGUUG